GUGAGUGAGAGGAGCGGAGGGAAGAAUCAGAAGGGAUUGGGAGAUUUCGUUCUCCAGUUUUUGGGGAAAAAACGGAAUCCGUUGAGGUUUCAGGUUUUGGGGAAUGAACGGUUUUGCAAUUGCAGAUCUCUGAUGGAGUUUGGGCGGAUGCGUGGCUUUUAUCGGGAAUGUACCGUAUAUUUGGACGCGUUACUUGGCUGUUGGCGUUGAAUGCGUUUCUUUGAAUUUAAAGCUAAGAAGCGGACGCAAAAUCACUGAAGUGGUGUUCUUUUGUGGUUUUGUUUUCGGCUGCGACGAGCAAAAAAUGAUGUUAAGAAAGCCCGUUCUGUUCUUGCUUCUCGUUACUGUUUUUGCUCCUAUUGUCCUCUACACCGAUAGACUUGCAAGCUUUACGAGUUUGUCCUCUACAAAUGGAUUCGAUGAAGAUGUUUCUACUCACAUGAGCUGUCGGUAUGGGAGAUAAGGAAAUUGAAUCUGCUUCCUCAGGUAAAUUCCUGGUUCUAACCAUCCAAGAUUUAGAGAUGCAUGUAAUGAAAGUUCCUAAUCUUAAUCCUUUUUAUCGUUGCCUCUUCUCUAUAAAUUAUCUAGGAGUUAUCGAUUAACUUGAAAGAACCGAUUGACAUUGUUUAUUCGGUUAACGGUCGCAGUUCUGUUUCGAAUUCUGAUGGAUCCUGGGGAAGAAAGGGGUUGGUCAGGUAUUAACACAAAUAGAGGGAUAUUUUGGGAAUUAUGAAAAAACUAACUUGACUUAACCGUCAGAACUAACGAUUGGGAGUUGUUAGAUAACAUCUUUUUCCUGCAAGGGAGGGAAGUGAUAUUAUUGAUAUUUUCACAAAAAUGAUGAGUACAGUUGGUACUUUCCCUUAGUUCAGGGGGUUGAGGGGAGGGGAGUGAAGUUUACCUUUUUUGGUUUUUUGGUAGACACAUGACCAGUCUCAUCAUCUACUUUCUCUUAUCUUGACAUCAUUCCUUGUCAUGUUUCAGGUUCCUUAAAUACAUUAUUUAUAAUUUUAAUGUUUCCUUAUCUUACCACUGAUCCUUACAGCUCCCCAACUUAACAGCCUAACCAGAUUGAAUGACUCAAGUGAAUAAUGAAAAUAAUCAAGCUUCAGUUAUAAAAUUUGGAUUUUUUUCCUGGGUUGGAUCUGGUGUUAGUGACACAUGGGAGGUUGAGGAAAGAAUGAUUGGAUGGGAUAGGAUGGGCUGGAGAGGUGAAGCUAAUAGCGUUGUAAUCCAGGCCAACUGCCUUGUGAUUCACACUGCUAUACGCUGCCAAUGGCACCUGGCAAGGGAAAUUACUGUGGGCAGCAAUGGCAGCUGGUAGCACCAAAGAGAAGAACUGGACUGUGGACAGCAACAAACAUAUGAGAUGGGUUGUUUUUUAUUGUUUCCAAGGUACUUUUAUGUUAGAAAGAAAUGGGAAAGAAUUUCAAUAAAAAACAAUUCAUAUCAGUCAAUCCAUUGUGAGCAAAUAUAUUACUGCAAAACCAAAUCAAUGAUGGGUUUCUAAAUUACUGUUCU